rnacentral:rRNA from 1 species
GACGAACGCUGGCGGCGUGCUUAACACAUGCAAGUCGAACGGAAAGGCCCUGCUUUUGUGGGGUGCUCGAGUGGCGAACGGGGGAGUAACACGUGAGUAACCUGCCCUUGACUUUGGGAUAACUUCAGGAAACUGGGGCUAAUACCGGAUAGGAGCUCCUGCUGCAUGGUGGGGGUGGGAAAGUUUCGGCGGUUGGGGAUGGACUCGCGGCUUAUCAGCUUGUUGGUGGGGUAGUGGCUUACCAAGGCUUUGACGGGUAGCCGGCCUGAGAGGGUGACCGGCCACAUUGGGACUGAGAUACGGCCCAGACUCCUACGGGAGGCAGCAGUGGGGAAUAUUGCACAAUGAGCGGAAGCCUGAUGCAGCAACGCCGCGUGCGGGAUGACGGCCUUCGGGUUGUAAACCGCUUUCGCCUGUGACGAAGCGUGAGUGACGGUAAUGGGUAAAGAAGCACCGGCUAACUACGUGCCAGCAGCCGCCGUAACAC